rnacentral:ncRNA from 1 species
GCUGGGGGAGCCGGAAGGCUGAGAGUGGGCGAGUCCCUGACCCUUGGAACCUGAUGCGGAUCAUGCCGCCGAAGGGAAGCG